GCGGCGUGCCUAACACAUGCAAGUCGAACGGAGUUAAUUGCAAACCGAAGGCUAAUUGGGGCAGGAAUCUUGUCCGGAAGGAUGGGGCGGAGAACCAAUUAAACAGUCGGUGUUGUGAUUAACUUAGUGGCGGACGGGUGAGUAACGCGUGAGUAACCUGCCUUUCAGAGGGGGAUAACGUUCUGAAAAGAACGCUAAUACCGCAUAACAUCCAGGUAUCGCAUGGUACCUGGAUCAAAGGAGCAAUCCGCUGGAAGAUGGACUCGCGUCCGAUUAGCUGGUUGGCGGGGUAAAUGCCCACCAAGGCGACGAUCGGUAGCCGGACUGAGAGGUUGAACGGCCACAUUGGGACUGAGACACGGCCCAGACUCCUACGGGAGGCAGCAGUGGGGGAUAUUGCACAAUGGGGGAAACCCUGAUGCAGCAACGCCGCGUGAGGGAAGAAGGUUUUCGGAUUGUAAACCUCUGUCCUUGGUGACGAUAAUGACGGUAGCCAAGGAGGAAGCUCCGGCUAACUACGUGCC
rnacentral:rRNA from 1 species